UACGUAGGUGGCAAGCGUUGUUCGGAAUUAUUGGGCGUAAAGGGCUCGUAGGCGGUUUGUCGCGUCGGGAGUGAAAACUCAGGGCUCAACCCUGAGCGUGCUUCCGAUACGGGCAGACUAGAGGUAUGCAGGGGAGAACGGAAUUCCUGGUGUAGCGGUGGAAUGCGCAGAUAUCAGGAGGAACACCGGUGGCGAAGGCGGUUCUCUGGGCAUUACCUGACGCUGAGGAGCGAAAGCAUGGGGAGCGAACAGG
rnacentral:rRNA from 1 species